rnacentral:rRNA from 1 species
GAUGAACGCUGGCGGCGUGCCUAAUACAUGCAAGUCGAGCGAACAGACGAGGAGCUUGCUCCUCUGACGUUAGCGGCGGACGGGUGAGUAACACGUGGAUAACCUACCUAUAAUACUGGGAUAACUUCGGGAAACCGGAGCUAAUACCGGAUAAUAUAUUGAACCGCGUGGUUCGAUAGUGAAAGACGGCUUUUCUGGAACUUAUAGCUGGAUACGCGCCUGAUUAGGUGGUUGGUAAGGUAACGGGGUAUCAAGGCAACCAUGCGUAAGCGAACUGAGAGGGUGAUCGGCCACACGGGAACGGAGACACGGUCCAGAGUCCUACGGGAGGCCGCAGUAGCCAAUCGUCCGCAAUGGGCGAAAGCCUGACGGAGCAACGCCGCGUGAGUGAUGAAGGUCUUCGGAUCGUAAAACUCUGUUACUAGGGAAGAACAAAUGUGUAAGUAACUAUGCACGUCUUGACGGUACCUAAUCAGAAAGCAACGGCUAACUACGUG